rnacentral:rRNA from 1 species
AUUGAACGCUGGCGGUAGGCCUAACACAUGCAAGUCGAACGAGUGGCGGACGGGUGAGUAAUGGCCGGGAAACUGCCAGAUGGAGGGGGAUAACUACUGGUAACGGUAGCUAAUACCGCAUACCAGCAGAUGUGCCCAGAUGGGAUUAGCUAGUUGGUGGGGUAACGGCGCACCAAGGUGACGAUCCCUAGUUGGGCUUAGAGGAUGACCAGCCACACUGGAACGGAGACACGGGCCAGACUCCGACGGUAGGCAGCAGUGGGGAAUAUUGCACAAUGGGGGGAAGCCUGAUGCAGCCAUGCCGCGUGUAUGAAGAAGGCCUUCGGGUUGUAAAGUACUUUCAGCGGGGAGGCGUUACCCGCAGAAGAAGCACCGGCUAACUCCGUGAAAGCAGCCGCGGUAAUUC